UACGUAGGGCGCAAGCGUUGUCCGGAAUUAUUGGGCGUAAAGAGCUCGUAGGCGGUUUGUUGCGUCGGCUGUGAAAUCCCGAGGCUCAACCUCGGGUCUGCAGUCGAUACGAGCAAACUAGAGUGUUGCAGGGGAGACUGGAAUUCCUGGUGUAGCGGUGAAAUGCGCAGAUAUCAGGAGGAACACCUGUGGUGUAGACAGCUUACUGGACCACUUCUGACGCUGAGACACGAAAGCGUGGGUAGCAAACAGG
rnacentral:rRNA from 1 species